rnacentral:misc_RNA from 1 species
CGCACAUUGCGCCCUUUGGUAUUCCGAAGGGCAUGCCUGCUCGAGCGUCAUUUAAACUCUCAAGCUCUGCUUGGUGUUGGGUGCUAGGUCCCGAUGGGACCCGCCUGUAACUCGUUGGCGGCACCGUCCGGCUUCAAGCGUAGCAAGUUAUCUCCCUCGCUUCCGAAGCUCCGGCCGGUCCCUGCCAGGGAACAACCACUCCUAAAGUUUGACCUCGGAUCAGGUAGGGAUACCCGCUGAACUUAA